AGAGUUUGAUCCUGGCUCAGGAUUAACGCUAGCGGCAGGCCUAAUACAUGCAAGUCGAACGGUAACAUGGGUAGCAAUAUCUGAUGACGAGUGGCGCACGGGUGCGUAACGCGUAUGUAAUCUACCUCUAACUGGGGGAUAGCCUUCCGAAAGGAAGAUUAAUACCGCAUAAUAUAAUGAAGAGGCAUCUUUUUGUUAUCAAAACUCUGGUGGUUAGAGAUGAACAUGCGUGACAUUAGCUAGUUGGUGAAGUAAUAGCUCACCAAGGCUACGAUGUCUAGGGGGUCUGAGAGGAUGAUCCCCCACACUGGUACUGAGACACGGACCAGACUCCUACGGGAGGCAGCAGUAAGGAAUAUUGGACAAUGGGGGCAACCCUGAUCCAGCCAUGCCGCGUGAAGGAUUAAGGCCCUAUGGGUUGUAAACUUCUUUUAUAAGGGAAAAAACCUCUCUACGUGUAGAGAGUUGAUGGUACUUUAUGAAUAAGGGUCGGCUAACUUCGUG
rnacentral:rRNA from 1 species